CUUCGCCGAGCCCAGCCACAGGGGCUGUUGCGCGCUGCGGUUACGGCCGUAGGUGUCGAGCAGGGCAUGGGCCUC
rfam:Streptomyces yokosukanensis strain DSM 40224 genomic scaffold PRJNA299221_s049, whole genome shotgun sequence.